rnacentral:snRNA from 1 species
ACUCAUUUUGGCAGCAUAUACUAAAAUUGGACCUAAUACAAAGAAGAUUAGUAUGGACCAUGAACAAAGAUGACACGUAACUUUGCGAACCAUUCCAUAUUUUU